AACGCACAUUGCGCCCGCCGGCACUCCGGCGGGCAUGCCUGUCCGAGCGUCAUUUCAACCCUCGGGCCCACCCUUCGCGGGGAACGGGCCCGGCGUUGGGGACCGGAGGCCGCCUCGGCGGCACCCGCCCCCUAAAUUCAGUGGCGGUCGCGCCGCAGCCUCCCCUGCGUAGUAGCACACCUCGCACCGGAGAGCGGCACGGCCACGCCUCGAAACCCCCCAAUUUUUUCAGGUUGACCUCGGAUCAGGUAGGAAUACCCGCUGAACUUAA
rnacentral:misc_RNA from 1 species